rnacentral:misc_RNA from 1 species
UAGGGAGACCUAAUCCAUUUAGAAAUCGAAAACAAUGAAAAUUGUCAAUAGAAACUAAAUUGGUCUAACCUAGGUCGUUCGAGAUUGGUAGACAUCUUUCAAAGUAUUAUUCGGCUUCGUUCAAAACCAUAUAUAAUAAAUGGAAAAAGACAGCACCUAAUUGUCAAAGUUAGACUGCUGGAUGAAGUUCCAGCCAGAACCUUGAAAACUGCAUAAGAGAACAAGAGAAAGCAGGCAGACACAGACAUUUAGAUGGAUGUGGAAGCAAAAGAAAUUGU